AACUUUCAACAACGGAUCUCUUGGUUCUGGCAUCGAUGAAGAACGCAGCGAAAUGCGAUAAGUAGUGUGAAUUGCAGAAUUCAGUGAAUCAUCGAAUCUUUGAACGCACAUUGCGCCCGCCAGCACUCUGGCGGGCAUGCCUGUUCGAGCGUCAUUU
rnacentral:rRNA from 1 species